GACGAAGGGGGCUAGCGUUGUUCGGAAUUACUGGGCGUAAAGCGCGUGUAGGCGGUUGUUCAAGUCAGGUGUGAAAGCCUUGAGCUCAACUCAAGAAAUGCACUUGAUACUGGAUGACUAGAGGACCGGAGAGGAUAGUGGAAUUCCCAGUGUAGAGGUGAAAUGCGUAGAUAUUGGGAGGAACACCAGUGGCGAAGGCGGCUCGCUGGACCGGAACUGACGCUGAGGCGCGAAAGCGUGGGGAGCAAACAGG
rnacentral:rRNA from 1 species